UACGGGGGGGGCAAGCGUUGUUCGGAAUUACUGGGCGUAAAGGGCGCGCAGGCGGUCCUUCAAGUCAGGCGUGAAAGCCCCGGGCUCAACCUGGGAAUAGCGCUUGAGACUGAGGGACUUGAGUUCGGGAGAGGAGAGCGGAAUUCCCAGUGUAGAGGUGAAAUUCGUAGAUAUACAGAAGAACACCAAAGGCGAAGGCAGUUAACUAUUCUAUUCCUGACAUUGAGGCACGAAAGCGUGGGGAGCAAAACGG
rnacentral:rRNA from 1 species